GAAGAGGGAUUUCCUUUCUGACAUAUUCUGCACCACUCAUCUCCAGAUUCGAUCGAUGCAUUGCUUCCUGCAUACUUUCUGACAUGUCCAUUGGAUCUACAUCAAUGACGGCAUUACUAAGACUGUUGGCGUAAAGGUUUUCUCCAACUCUAUUAUCAACAUUAGCAAAGAAAUUGCCCAAGUCCGUCGAUCUUGACCCACCCUUGGAAGCUAUAGCAGCAGCUCUUGAAUCACCAGUAUCUUGUUCAAGAAUCUCAAUUUUUGAACCAGCUCUAGAUGUGUCUGCGGAACUUAAAGACGAUUCAAGGUCUAUUACAGAAUUUUUAUGUACAGGGGAAAGGGAAAUAGGCCUCAACAACAUGUGAUUCUGCUGCUUUCCAUCCAAGGACUGAAAUGCAAUAACUUGGAUUCUCCCGACCUUCUGUGCAUCUUCACUAAAACAUGAAAAUAUCAACCCAAUAAACCCAGCAUCCAGAAGUUGAUACAUGGCUUGAGUGCGGACAUCAACAUGGGAAGGGAGCACUGUAAUGUGGGGAUGUGAAUGGUACCAGCCAAUCACUCUUGUUGUUCUUCCUGUUGCCAGGGUCAUUCUCUCAGCCUUGACUGAUGCAGCAGUUAGCUGCUCAGGAUUGGUCUCAACACGAUCUUUCCUCCUGUCACAACGUGGCUGUGGCAGUGCUCCCCAUAUAAGUGCAGUCACGCUACCAUUUUUUGACUGCUGAGUAUCACCGAGGAGAAGUCCCAUUAUCUCUUCAGUUUCUGUAGACAAUGCAUGACUAAGACAUGUUAACCACACUUCCUCCGUCAUUUUCACACUCGUUAGAGCCAUUUCUCUGUUCUAAAUCUCCUCAAUUCCAGUGUAAGCAGAUGAAUUUUCGGGUAUAAUUAUUGUGUAAUUUUUCUUUCAAUUUUCCUUUUCCAGUAGCGACCUCUCCGAAG
rnacentral:misc_RNA from 1 species